rnacentral:rRNA from 1 species
GAGACCCACGCCCACAGUUGCCAGCGUACUCUCCGGAGUGACGGGUACACUGUGGGGACCGCCGCUGCUAAAGCGGAGGAAGGAAUGGGCAACGGUAGGUCAGUAUGCCCCGAAUACCCCGGGCUACACGCGAGCUACAAUGGCUGGUACAAUGGGUAUCUACCCCGAAAGGGGAUGGAAAUCUCCUAAAGCCAGUCUCAGUUCGGAUUGGGGGCUGCAACUCGCCCCCAUGAAGCUGGAAUCCGUAGUAAUCGCAUAUCAACAGUAUGCGGUGAAUACC